AAGUCGUAACAAGGUUUCCGUAGGUGAACCUGCGGAAGGAUCAUUACCGAGUUCAUGCCCUUACGGGUAGAUCUCCCACCCUUUGUAUACUAUACCUUUGUUGCUUUGGCGGGCCGCCUAGCUACUGGCUUCGGCUGGUAUGUGCCCGCCAGAGGACCCAAAACCCUGAAUUAUUAGUGUCGUCUGAGUAAAAUAUUUAAUAUUUAAAACUUUCAACAACGGAUCUCUUGGCUCUG
rnacentral:misc_RNA from 2 species